rnacentral:rRNA from 1 species
UACGUAGGGCGCAAGCGUUGUCCGGAUUUAUUGGGCGUAAAGAGCUCGUAGGCGGUCUGUCGCGUCGGAUGUGAAAACCCAGGGCCCAACCCUGGGCCUGCAUUCGAUACGGGCAGACUAGAGUACGGCAGGGGAGACUGGAAUUCCUGGUGUAGCGGUGAAAUGCGCAGAUAUCAGGAGGAACACCGGUGGCGAAGGCGGGUCUCUGGGCCGAUACUGACGCUGAGGAGCGAAAGCGUGGGGAGCGAACAGG